GCGCGCUGGAGCUCCGGAGCUGCAUGCAGCAAAUGCGAAGCGCGACACACGAGCGCGAACAAACAGUGUCACGUGUGUGUCGAAUCUGACCGUCGAUUAUUUAUUAAUUUUCGUUCUACUCGACAAUUCCAAAAAUCAGUGCCAUUCAUUGGCUUUAGCUUUGCCCUUGAACUUGAAAUCUCGUACCUUAUUCUUUCUUGGGGACUGGUGUUGGAUAUUGAACGGGCGGAGUGACCGCCGGGAUGAUGGAUGAAGGAGAUGAUGGCCUAAUCUUGGCUGCGCGCAUUCUCAUUUUCGCGUGGCCUGCCACUAGUGUUUCGCAGAUUCACAAAGGGUGUCACAGGCAUAGCUGGAGGAAGAAAGGUUUUCUGGCUGAUUCCUCCGACCCCAAUCAAUCUUCAGAUCUAUGAGCAGUGGGUGUUGUCCGGUAAACAGCAGGAUAUAUUCCUGGGUGACAUGGUCGAGACGUGUGCCCGCGUCGAAUUGAAACCAGGCUGGACCUUUGUCAUUCCUACUGGUUGGAUUCAUGCAGUUCACACUCCUGUGGAUUGGUUAGUGUUUGGUGGAAACUUUCUGCACAGUUUCAACAUAAGCGGUCAGCUUGCCGUGGCGCACAUUGAAGAAACUACUAAGAUACGGACGCAGCGAAGCUCUCUCCUGCGCCCGCAUGCGCCGAGAUCCCACUGCUGUCAACGGAUGACACUGCAGCCCAGUCGCCAGCGACGGCGGCAGCUGCUGCUGCUGCUGCUUCGUCAGGAGAUGGGAACAGCUCACAAGGCGGCAAGCCACCUCCAUAACCGCCAUCCUGCCUGCUCUCGGACAUGGCCUGUCUCAGCUCGUAUGAGAUUGAUGGCUUGCGACGGCUGCUGGCCGAGCUGAACGUUUCCACGACGAUGGUGAGGGCGUGUCCCAAGGAGCUGGGGGAUCCUGGGGAGCUCAUGUCGACCGUGGAGGUAAGUUGUCGUGUGUGAUGUGUGGGUAAAACCGAAGUUACCGAAAAUAAAUCUCCACCUAAAUUUUCCGGUUUUACAGUAGCCUAUCUUCAGGGACAUACAUAUGGGACAUACAUAACUAUUGGCGUAGAUUUGCUUAAUCGUUAUGCCUUGUAUUCUCUUGUCAAAUGUACACCGUAGAUUCUGUUGAACGAGUAUGAAAGCCAGUAUUCUCCUCUGCAAUGUACAAGCAUUUUCCUGUGCAAUGUAUGCUGUAUAUUCUGUUGAAUGAGUAUGAAUUCUCCUGUGCAACGUGCGCUGUAGAUUCUGUUGAACGAGUAUGAAAGCCGGUUUCGCGAGGACAAGGCCACUGGACAUUUUAUGCUCAUACCGGGUAUACAAUCUGAGAAUCUGCGUGUGUCGCCCGCACCAAUACCUGACAACAUUGUGGAAAUAGUUGCAGUUGAAACAGAGAUUGUAUGCAAGUCCUCAGCUGCUACUGCAUCUCCAAAAAAGACAGCUGGUAUAUCAUCUCGUGACGACCACAUUGAAGUCUGAAUUUGAAGUGCGAAGAUGCUUCAGCAACCACAUCGUACUUUUCCAUUGCUUUCAUUGUGCUUCUACUGUGCAUGUGUGUAACUUGUGGGGUAUACAUGUGAUGACAUUGUAUGCUGGCGACACGGUCAGAUUUUGUCCAUGCGUGUAACGUACACCUGCAUGUUAUGCAUCGAAAAGGAUCUGCCACUUGCGAUCCUGGGAAAAGUAUCACGUUAGCUUUGUCUUGUGUGGGCUGUACCAGAUUGCUGUUCACUUUUCUAUCUGUUGGAUAUGUGACUUUCUGCAAGUCUCUGGUGUAUGGUGGCCACUUCUUUGCUUGUCACUUUGUAUGAUAUUACAUUCUGUAUUUGCUGCUUCCAUGGCGUGGUCUGCAAACUGCAAUCCUUGGGCAAAUGUCAUGUUUGCUAUGUUGUGCUUUGGCCGUCAGUUUGUCUACACGUUGUAGUUGAAUUAUUUUGCUCCACAACUGACUUCCUGAAGUACGGUGGCCACUGCUUUGCAUGGCAUUUUA